UACGGAGGGGGCAAGCGUUAUUCGGAAUUAUUGGGCGUAAAGGGCGCGUAGGCGGCGUGGCAAGUGACGGGUGAAAGCCCUCGGCUUAACCGAGGAACUGCCUGUCAGACUGUUAGGCUUGAGACCGGGAGAGGUGAGUGGAAUUCCGAGUGUAGCGGUGAAAUGCGUAGAUAUUGGGAGGAACACCAGUGGCGAAGGCGGCUCACUGGACCGGUACUGACGCUGAGGCGCGAAAGCGUGGGGAGCAAACAGG
rnacentral:rRNA from 1 species